UGGGCCGCCCAGGCGCCCUCGCUUUGCACUUCGGUGUCCCCCGCGAGCCCCCGCCCGGCCGAGACGGCCCUCGUGGAAUCCGGACCCGGACCCCCUCCACCGCUGGUCGGUGCCAGCCACUGCAGACGGUAACGUAUUGUAAGAUGGAAAAAGCAGACAACGAUGUAAAACACUCUCACAAAACUGAACACUGUUUUUGAGCUGAUGAUUAGGGUAGCAGUAUAAUCCAUCAUUCAUAUAUUUAAAGCUAAGAAUAAGACCAUUGGCUUGCUGCAAGGAAUUAGUACUGGAAUUAAUAUUAAUCAAUGACAAGGAAGAGCAGAACAGAGGAUGGUCCUGUGAUGGAUGGUCCUGUGAAGUAUCUUUCCUUCAGAAAUGACUCUUUCCAUUACUUUCAUGUAUUUGCCUUGUCUGGAAGACUGAUUAUGAGCUUCUUAGGACAGCCUUCACUUUAGAUUUGAGGCCCAGAGAAGUUUAGCAAUUUUUUCAAGCCCACACAGCUGGUUGGUAGCAGAGCUGGGCCUAAAAUCUUGGACCAUUUCCAAAUCCAAUGUUUACUGUAUCACACUGUGAAACUCUUAUGUUGAUCACUGUGAGUGCUUAAUAAAUAUUAGAUUUCUAACAGCA